GCACUGUUGAGGAGUCCCACAAUAGGACGAAACGGCCGUUCAGCGC
rnacentral:hammerhead_ribozyme from 1 species